UGCCAUACUAAAUUGAACUUUAUCACCGGUGCAGAAAGGCGUUCUUGUCAGACUAGUAAAAGUUUUUGGCUUAACAACUCAAUCUAGCUUAAUAUAUAUAAAUCUAUGGCAUAGAACAACAUGUCGGGUCCCUAUAUAUAGGUCUAAGGUUUUAUUUGAAAAUUGAAAUGGUCAUACAAUGCCAAAAAUUCCAAAUCUGGUCUGCUUUGGCAAACAUUGCCAUCAUUGCGGUAAAUGGAUGGAGCGAAGAGCUUUGAGGAAAGAUUGAAUGGUUGGUCUUCAAACUCUAGAAACCAGA